rnacentral:rRNA from 1 species
ACUCCUACGGGAGGCAGCAGUGGGGAAUUUUGGACAAUGGGCGCAAGCCUGAUCCAGCAAUGCCGCGUGCAGGAUGAAGGCCUUCGGGUUGUAAACUGCUUUUGUACGGAACGAAAAGCCCUCUUCUAAUACAGGAGGGUCAUGACGGUACCGUAAGAAUAAGCACCGGCUAACUACGUGCCAGCAGCCGCGGUAAUACGUAGGGUGCAAGCGUUAAUCGGAAUUACUGGGCGUAAAGCGUGCGCAGGCGGUUUUGUAAGACAGAGGUGAAAUCCCCGGGCUCAACCUGGGAACUGCCUUUGUGACUGCAAGGCUAGAGUACGGCAGAGGGGGAUGGAAUUCCGCGUGUAGCAGUGAAAUGCGUAGAUAUGCGGAGGAACACCGAUGGCGAAGGCAAUCCCCUGGGCCUGUACUGACGCUCAUGCACGAAAGCGUGGGGAGCAAACAGGAUUAGAUACCCUGGUAGUCCACGCCCUAAGCGAUGUCAGCUGGUUGUUGGGUCUUAAUUGACUCAGUAACGAAGCUAACGCGUGAAGUUGACCGCCUGGGGAGUACGGCCGCAAGGUUGAAACUGAAAGGAAUUGACGG